GGUUUGAUCCUGGCUCAGAUUGAACGCUGGCGGGAUGCUUUACACAUGCAAGUCGAACGGCAGCACGGACUUCGGUCUGGUGGCUGGUGGCGAACGGGUGAGUAAUGUAUCGGAACGUGCCUAGUAGCGGGGGUGCUACGCGGCAUGGCUAAUACCACAUACGCCCUUAAGAGGAAAGCGGGGGACCUUCCUCGCACUAUUAGAAACGGCCGAUAUCGGAUUAGCUAGUUGGUGGGGUAACGGCUCACCAAGGCGACGAUCCGUAGCUGGUUUGAGAGGACGACCAGCCACACUGGGACUGAGACACGGCUUGAACUCCUACGGGAGAGCAGCAGUGGAAAUUUUGGACAAUGGGGAAACCCUGAUCCAGCCAUCCCGCGCGUCAAUGCGAUGGGCCUUCGGGUUGUAAAGCACUUUUGGCAGGAAAGAAACGGCACGGGAUAAUACCCCGUGCAACUGACGGUACCUGCAGAAUAAGCACCGGCUAACCAUACGUGCCAGCAGCCGCGGUAAUACGUAGGGUACAAGCGUUAAUCGGAAUUACUGGGCGUAAAGCGUGCGCAGGCGGUUCGGAAGAAAGAUGUGAAAUCCCAGAGCUUAACUUUGGAACACAUUUUUUAACACCGAGCUAGAAGAGUGUGUCGGAGGUGGGAUUCGCGUGUAGCAGUGGUAAGCGAUGUACGGAGAACACCGAUGGCGAAGGCAGCCUCUGGGAUAACACUGACGCUCAUGCACGAAAGCGUGGGGGAGCAAACAGGAUUAGAUGCCCUGGUAGUCCACGCCCUAAACGAUGUCAACUAGCUGUGUUGGGGCCUUCGGGCCUUGGUAGCGCAGCUAACGCGUGAAGUUGACCGCCUGGGAGGUACGGUCGCAAGAUUAAAACUCAAAGGAAUUGACGGGGACCCGCACAAGCGGUGGAUAGUGUGGAUUAAUUCGAUGCAACGCGAAAAACCUUACCUACCCUUGACAUGUGCGGAAUCCCGAAGAAGAGAUUUGGGAGUGCUCGCAAGAGAACCGGAACACAGGUGCUGCAUGGCUGUCGUCAGCUCGUGUCGUGAGAUGUUGGGUUAAGUCACAACGAGCUGCAAAACCCUUGUCAUUGGUGCUACGAAGAGCACUCCUAAUGAGACUGCCGGUAUCAAACCGGAGGAAGGUGGGGAUGACGUCAAGUCCUCUCAUGGCCUUAUGGGUAGGGCUUCACACGUCAUACACGAAUGGUCGGGACAGAGGGUCGCCAACCCGCGAGGGGAGCCAAUCCCAGAAACCCGAUCGUAGUCCGGAUCGCAGUCUGCAACUCUCGACUGCGUGAAGUCGGAAUCUGGUAAUCAUGGAUCAGCAUGUCGCGGUGAAUACGUUCCCGGGUCUUACGCCGCCCGUCACACCAUGGGAGUGGGUUUUGCAGAAGUAACCCAACAGCCUAACCGUAAGGAGGGCGAUUACCACGGUAAGUUUGUGAGCUGGGGUGAAGUCAUGUUGAGU
rnacentral:rRNA from 1 species